rnacentral:tRNA from 1 species
AAAGGGAGACCUAAUUCGGGUAGGAGACGAAAAAAAAGUAGUCCCUACCAAGAAUCAAUCCCAAAAGGUCGGAGCGAGGCGAAAUUGGCUUUCAAACUAGGUUCUGGGUUCACACAAGACCUGAAUCAGGAACAAGGGCUAUUAGCUCAGGUGGUUAGAGCGCACCCCUGAUAAGGGUGAGGUCCCUGGUUCGAGUCCAGGAUGGCCCACCUGCACAGGUGGCAAAAACAAAGAAGCGAGGAAUCAGCACCUUAUCUUACUGACAUAGUAAGAGAGAAUGCUGGCUCUGAGUAAAGAGUCCAGAGGAACCUUGAAAACUGCAUAGAGCUAGGUGAAAAAGCCAAAAAAGAAGACCGCAAG